GAAGGAUGUUGGAAGGACCGUCUACAGUUUCAGGGUCAGACAGCCAAACCCACAUCUCCACAGUGGAACAGUAACACCAAUGGGACGGUUAUUAUCUGAGGACCAGGAGCUGCACCUGGACUUCUCGCCAGCUACAAACAUGCCUCUGACCUGAACAUGCUGUUCCCUGUCUGGAAUGCCCCUCCCUCAUCUGCCUAGUAAACGCUGACUUCUCAUCCUUCGAGGCCAACUUAACUGCCACUGCCUUUGCAGAGCCUUCUGACACGCCCCAGGCCAGCCCCUUCAUCUUCACACAGUGCCCGGUGCAGUACGUGCCCAGUCGAUGUUUAACCUACUGAACUGAAUAAAUAAGCAAGAUAGAAGAUCAAAUAUG